UACGGAGGAUGCAAGCGUUAUCCGGAAUCAUUGGGCGUAAAGCGUUCGUAGGUGGCUAUUCAAGUCUGCUGUCAAAGACUGGGGCUUAACCCCAGAAAGGCGGUGGAAACUGAAAGGCUAGAGUGCGGUAGGGGUAGAGGGAAUUCCCGGUGUAGCGGUGAAAUGCGCAGAUAUCGGGAAGAACACCAAUGGCGAAAGCACUCUGCUGGGCCGACACUGACACUGAGAGACGAAAGCUAGGGGAGCGAAUGGG
rnacentral:rRNA from 1 species